rnacentral:rRNA from 1 species
AUCAUUACCGAGUUUACAACUCCCAAACCCAUGUGAACAUACCUACUGUUGCUUCGGCGGGAUUGCCCCGGGCGCCUCGUGUGCCCCGGAUCAGGCGCCCGCCUAGGAAACUUAAUUCUUGUUUUAUUUUGGAAUCUUCUGAGUAGUUUUUACAAAUAAAUAAAAACUUUCAACAACGGAUCUCUUGGUUCUGGCAUCGAUGAAGAACGCAGCGAAAUGCGAUAAGUAAUGUGAAUUGCAGAAUUCAGUGAAUCAUCGAAUCUUUGAACGCACAUUGCGCCCGCCAGUAUUCUGGCGGGCAUGCCUGUCUGAGCGUCAUUUCAACCCUCAUGCCCCUAGGGCGUGGUGUUGGGGAUCGGCCAAAGCCCGCGAGGGACGGCCGGCCCCUAAAUCUAGUGGCGGACCCGUCGUGGCCUCCUCUGCGAAGUAGUGAUAUUCCGCAUCGGAGAGCGACGAGCCCCUGCCGUUAAACCCCCAACUUUCCAAGGUUGACCUCAGAUCAGGUAGGAAUACCCGCUGAACUUAAGCAUAUCAAUAA